AUAAGCGGAGGAAAAGAAAGUAACCAGGAUUCCCCCAGUAACGGCGAGUGAAGAGGGAACAGCCCAACUUUGUAAUCGGUCGUCUCCGGGCGACCGAGUUGUAGUCUCGAGACGCSUGACCCGGCGCGGUGGACGGUCGAGAUGGCUCGGAUVCCAUGUCACAGAGGGUGCCAACCCCGUACAACMGUCGUAUCGUCGCAUCCGCGGUCGGCGCUCCAAGAGUCGAGUUGUUUGGGAAUGCAGCUCCAAUCGGGUGGUAAAUUCCAUAUAGGGCUAAAUAACGGCGAGAGACCGAUAGCGAACAAGUACCGUGAGGGAGAGAUGARAAGCACUUUGGAAAGAGAAUGAGACAGUAUGUGAAAUUGYUGGAAGGGAGACGCUUGAAGUCAGCUUUGCGCGGCGCGGUUCAGCCCGACUCUUUUGGGUGGGGUGCACUUCGCGCCGGUGCGGGCCAGCAUCGGUUUCCGACCCGUCAACAGGGUGCGAGGAAGGUGGCCCGCUUCGGCGGGUGUUAUAGCCUCGGACUGGACGGCGGGUCGGGGACCGAGGAACAGCAGUGCGCCCCCGUGGCCGCGUCCCCGGACGUGUACGCACUCAGGAU
rnacentral:rRNA from 1 species